rnacentral:misc_RNA from 1 species
CAGAGUUGCAAGACUCCCUAAACCAUUGUGAACCUACCUUCUACCGUUGCUUCGGCGGGCGGGCCCAGCGCCCCCCCCGGCCCCCCGCGGGCGCCCGCCGGAGGAUACCCAAACUCUUGACAUUAGUGGCCUCUCUGAGUAUUCUUUACUGAAUAAGCCA